rnacentral:pre_miRNA from 1 species
CAUUAAAAAUUUGAUUCACUUUUAUUGUUAAAAAGUGGCGUGAUUGAUAAAAUAACUUGAUAGUGAUAUGUGACGUGCCAUAUAUACCUAAUGCUGAGAUAUAGGUAUUAAUUUUUCACAAAAUAAAUAAAUAAAAUUUUUAACA